AACGCGAAGAACCUUACCUGGGCUCGAAGCACAGUGGACCGGGGUAGAAAUAUCCCUUUUCGCAAGAACUGCUGUGGAGGUGCUGCAUGGCUGUCGUCAGCUCGUGUCGUGAGGUGUUGGGUUAAGUCCCGCAACGAGCGCAACCCUUAUUCGUAGUUGCCACCCGCAAGGGGGAACUCUACGAGGACUGCUCCGGAUAACGGAGAGGAAGGUGGGGAUGACGUCAAGUCAGCACGGCCUUUAUGUCCAGGGCUACACACGUGUUACAAUGCGCGGCACAGACUGUUGCGAACCCGCGAGGGGGAGCUAAUCGGAAAAAACCGCGCUCAGUUCGGAUUGCAGUCUGCAACUCGACUGCAUGAAGCUGGAAUCGCUAGUAAUGGCGUAUCAGAUCGACGCCGUGAAUACGUUCCCGGGCCUUGUACACACCGAGACGUA
rnacentral:rRNA from 1 species